AUGAGUAACUCACCACCAGCACAAUUUCACAAAUCUCCGUGCCUACAACGCCCAGGCCUACUCAAGGUGGUCCUAUUGCUGGUAGCCUCCAUGGGUAGCAAAGAGGAAACAAGCUCACAUUGGAGGUUGGGAAGAGAACCUGAGUCAGGCACAAAAAGGAAUCAAUCCCAACAGCCACACAGGGGAAAACGAAGUAACUUUAGAAAACAAACUUGGACAUGGCAGCAACUGCCGCUGUCAUCUUCUUCUCCGUCUCUGAUGGCUUGCACAACAGAUCUAGAAGAAGAGACACAAGGGUAA
rnacentral:rRNA from 1 species